rnacentral:rRNA from 1 species
GACGAACGCUGGCGGCGUGCUUAACACAUGCAAGUCGAACGGAAAGGCCCUGCUUUUGUGGGGUGCUCGAGUGGCGCACGGGUGAGUAACGCGUGAGUAACCUGCCCUUGACUUUGGGAUAACUUCAGGAAACUGGGGCUAAUAUCGGAUAUGAGCUCCUGCUGCAUGGUGGGGGUUGGAAAGAUUCGGCGGUUGGGGAUGGACUCGCGGCUUAUCCGCUUGUUGGUGGGGUAGUGGCUUACCCCGGCUUUGACGGGUAGCCGGCCUGAGAGGGUGACCGGCCACAUUGGGACUGAGAGACGGCCCAGACUCCUACGGGAGGCAGCAGUGGAGAAUAUUGCACAAUGGGCGGAAGCCUGAUGCAGCAACGCCGCGUGCGGGAUGACCGCCUUCGGGUUGUAAACCGCUUUCGCCUGUGACGAAGCGUGAGUGACGGUAAUGAGUAAAGAAGCACCGGCUAACUACGUG